AAAAAAAAAAAACGUACAAAAAAAAAAAACAAAGAAAGCAGCCCCCGCCAAUUUCAUUCUGCAAAAACAAAAGACUGACUGACCCCAGCCGAGCUGAAACGCCAACUCCCACUCCCUGCUGAAUACGACAUUGUCGUUUCAAUUCAUUUCCUUCUUUUUCUCUCUCUGGCCAUCAGCGAUUCCUUUUUUUCGCACCCAUAGAUCCUUUCUUGCUUUUUCUUCUCAUCGCUAAAAUUCAUCUCCGAAUUCAAUUUUAAGUAAUAUUUUUUUUUAAUAAACAAGGAGAGCUGGAUCCAUUACAGGAACCAGCGCAGUCCUUGAAGGCAACCGCCGCGGCCAACGGCCAGAUCCGUUAUCGCUCCCCUUCCUCCGCCGAACUCUUAGAGACUGGGGCUUCCUCUGCCACUACCAGUUCUUCCGCCGCCGUCGCCAGUUCUCCCACCCAUUCCGACCACCUCCUCCACCAAUUGCCCCCCGAAAAGAUGAAGCGCCCGGUGCCUCGGCAUGAGUCUUUGUUCGAUAAGAUCCACAGGUACCGGGGUGUUCUCUUGGUCAUUUCGAUCCCGCUUCUCUUGAUUGCAUUUGUCUUGUUCGUCAUGCCAAGUCGCUCUCCAGCCGCCGUCUUGGAUGAGUACGAGGUUAAUAACAGGAAGAUGUCGCCGAAUUUGAAGGAUGCAAAUAGAUACGCGGUUAUUUUUGAUGCGGGUAGUUCAGGAAGUAGAGUGCAUGUCUAUUGUUUUGAUCGAAAUAUGGACCUUGUUCCCAUCGGCAAAGAUCUCGAGCUUUUUCUCCAGAUUAAACCAGGUUUGAGUGCAUAUGCAAGUGACCCAGAUGCUGCAGCAAGUUCUCUUCUUCCCCUGCUUGAUAAAGCAGAAAGUGUAGUACCCAAAGAGCUCCGAUCGAAAACACCUGUCAGAGUUGGGGCUACUGCAGGCUUGAGGGCAUUGGGUGGUGAGGCAUCAGAAAGAAUUUUGGAUGCGGUUAGGGAUCUUCUGAAAGAUAAGAGUACCCUGAAGUCUGAGGCAGAUGGAGUAACUGUUCUGGAUGGUUCUCAAGAAGGUUCAUAUGAAUGGGUGACAAUAAAUUACCUAUUAGGAAAAUUGAGCGGAUCAUAUUCUGAGACAGUUGGAGUGGUUGAUCUUGGUGGUGGAUCUGUUCAAAUGGCAUAUGCUAUCUCUAAGAUGGAUGCUGAAAAGGCUCCAAGGGUAUCAGAUGGAGAGGAUUCAUAUAUAAAAGAAAUGCGUCUGAUGGGUACUGACUACUACCUCUAUGUUCACAGUUACCUUCACUACGGUUUAUUAGCAGCUCGAGCAGAGAUUUUGAAGUUUUCUGAAGACUCUGAUAAUGCAUGUAUCUUGACUGGUUAUGAUGGGGUUUACAAAUAUGGAGGAGUGGAGUAUAAAACAUCAGCUGCUUCUUCUGGUUCAAGCUUUGAAGGAUGCAGGAGUCUUGCUUUGAAGGCUCUCAAAGUUAAUGAAUCAGCAUGCACGCACAUGAAAUGCACAUUUGGUGGAGUAUGGAAUGGUGGAGGUGGGGAUGGACAAAAAAAU
rnacentral:misc_RNA from 1 species